rnacentral:rRNA from 1 species
ACGAACGCUGGCGGCAUGCCUGACACAUGCAAGUCGAACGAGACCUUCGGGUCUAGUGGCGCACGGGUGCGUAACGCGUGGGAACCUGCCCUUAGGUUCGGAAUAACUCCCCGAAAGGGGUGCUAAUACCGGAUAAUGUCUUCGGACCAAAGAUUUAUCGCCUUUGGAUGGGCCCGCGUUGGAUUAGCUAGUUGGUAGGGUAAAAGCCUACCAAGGCGACGAUCCAUAGCUGGUCUGAGAGGAUGAUCAGCCACACUGGGACUGAGACACGGCCCAGACUCCUACGGGAGGCAGCAGUGGGGAAUAUUGGACAAUGGGCGAAAGCCUGAUCCAGCAAUGCCGCGUGAGUGAUGAAGGCCUUAGGGUUGUAAAGCUCUUUUACCCGGGAUGAUAAUGACAGUACCGGGAGAAUAAGCUCCGGCUAACUCCGUG